CUCCUUGGCACUAGAUUGAAUUUUCCUACCAGACUUCCGAUAAGUUGGUCAAUCCCUCAACCGUUUCACAACCAAGUUCGGGAUGGAGUUGGUGUGGUUCCAAUUGAGCAUCGAGCACCAAAGAAU
rnacentral:rRNA from 1 species